CAAAAAAAAUCAUGUUCAAUAAUUGAGUUUUGAUGGCAAGAAUUUACAAAUUAAUCUAAAAUAAAAAAUAUAAUUAUAUCAUUAAUCGGGUAAAUUGGUCAAUAACUUUAACCCUAACCUAACACCAAAAAAAAAAAAAAAAAUUUAUCGACCAAAUUCGGCUAAUUUAAUAAUCGUGUUAAAUUUGAUAAUUCAUACACAUUUAUUCGUGCCUUGAUCGUGUCAAGUAAUCAAGUCGUGUCAUAUUUUACCGGUCGCAAUGUUUCUAUACAACCAAAUAAAAUUUGGUAGAUAAUAGGCCAAUUAUUUUUUUGGAGAUCUCCAAUACCAAAUGUUGUCCUUACGAGUUUUUUAGUAAUUAGUGUACUAAAGAGUGAUAAACAAUCAUCCGAAACGACGUCAUUUGAAAUAAUUAUUUAUCAUCAUUUUGUCAUUCUUUAGUAUAAAUAUCAGUGCUUCAAGUAUGAUUCAAAUAUCUACAUGUAAGUAUAGUUAGUACAUAACUAACGAUAAAAUUCGGAAAAAAUUAUUGUGAUAUAAUUAGGGGUAUUGAUACAUGUAGAUAAAACUAACAACUUAACCCGUUAGACUUACAACUGAAAUUAAUCGUUAUACUUUAUCUUAAAGAAACUGUUCAAACCCAUUUCAUUCCAGCUCACACACAAUCAUAAUCCCUCAAUUCAAAUUAAAUUUGAUGCUCUCCACAAAUAAUGCAAAGUCUAGACCUUUCAAUAAUCAUCUUGCAAAGUCUAGACCUUUUAAUAAUCAUCUUAUUCUUUUAUCGGUAAUAGAUGAAAAAAAAUAUUUUCAUAUUAAAUGUUGAUUUCUAAACAAAUCUAUAUGCUUUAGAAAAUUUUGGUUACUUAAUGUGUUAAGAAAAAAAGAAAUGUUAAAAUAUGUCUAAUAAA
rnacentral:lncRNA from 1 species